rnacentral:rRNA from 1 species
AGUUUGAUCCUGGCUCAGGAUGAACGCUGGCGGUGCGCCUUAGGCAUGCAAGUCGAACGAACUCUUCGGAGUGAGUGGCAGACGGGUGAGUACAAAAUAGGAAUCUACCUUUAAGUGGGGAAUAGCUCAUCGAAAGAUGAGAUAAUACCGCAUGUGAUCGUAAGAUUAAAGCAGCAAUGCGCUUAGAGAGGAGCCUAUUUACUAUCAGCUAGUUGGUGGGGUAAUGGCCUACCAAGGCAAUGACGGUUAGCCGAUGUGAGAGCAUGAUCGGCCACAAUGUUACUGAGACACGGAACAUACACCUACGGGUGGCAGCAACCGGGAAUCUUGCGCAAUGGACGAAAGUCUGACGCAGCGACACCGCGUGGAGGAAGAAAUUUUUCGGAAUGUAAACUCCUGUGGCGAGGGAAGAAAAGGACGGUACCUCGCUAGAAAGCACCAGCUAACUACGUGCCAGAAGCUUCGGUAAUACGUAGGGUGCAAGCGUUAUCCGGAUUUACUGGGCGUAAAGCGUCUGCAGGCGUUUUGAUAAGUUAUUCGUCUAAGCCUGGAGCUCAACUCCAGAGAGGCGAGUAAAACUGUCAAAAUUGAGUUUGUUUGGGGGAACUAGAAUUCUCGGUGGAGGGGUGAAAUCCAUAGAUAUCGAGAGGAAUACCAUACGCGAAGGCAGGUUCCUGGAACACAACUGACGCUCAGAGACGAAAGCAUGGGUAGCAAACGGGAUUAGAGACCCCAGUAGUCCAUGCCGUAAAUAUUCCUUGCUAGCUGGUUUCAUUUUUUAGUGGGGCUGGCGUAAGCUAACGCGUUAAGCAAGGCGCCUGGGGAUUACGACCGCAAGGUUAAAACUCAAAGGAAUUGACGGG